rnacentral:lncRNA from 1 species
GGCUCCUUCCUCAUCAUCUGCUUCUCCAAAACCUUUGGCCUUUGCUUCUUCUAUGGGAGUCGUUUUUCUUCUUUCACUAUUUUUCAUGUAGAUGAAUCAUGCUUAGACGUUAUUUAAUAAUUUGUGAUUCCUCCUUCUGUUCCCCAUUAGGUUUCUUGUUUUGUGGAGAGUCGACAAUUGAAUGUAAUGUUUUACUUGAAAAUAAAACGUAAGGAAGAUAUUAGUUGAACUCCGUUGGCUUCUAUGCGUGUCAAUCAUUUUCUGAUCGCAUGUACUAUUUAAUAUAUCAAAUUUAAACAGAGUACGUGUUAAUCCCUCCGUUUCAAUUUAUAUGAACCCGUUUGACUGAGCACGGAGUUUAAGAAAAAAUGAAGAUUUUUGGAAUUUGUGGUCCUAAACAAGUAAAAAAUGGGCCUAGAGUAUUUGUGUGGUUAUAAAAGUUUCUUGUUAAGGGUACAAUUGUAAGUUUAAGCUAAAUUAUUAUCAAAUUUAGAAAGGGAUCAUUCUUUUUGAAACGGACCAAAAAAAAAUA